rnacentral:tRNA from 1 species
CCAACCUGGUGCACUGGAGUGCCCGCCGGUUCCCGGCCGGCGGCGCAGUGUUGCACAAGACCCCGGUGAGCUUCGACGCCUCGGUGUGGGA